UAAGGCACGCGGUGAAUGCCGA
rnacentral:miRNA from 1 species